rnacentral:snRNA from 1 species
CUGCUCACUUCAGCAGCACAUAUACUAAAAUUGGAAGGAAACAGAGAAGAUUAUCAUGGUCCCUGUGCAAAGAUGACAUGCAAAUUCGAGAAGCAUUCCAUAAAAUU